ACUGCAUCCCGCCCUGCUUUGGUUUUCCUUCCCUAUUUUCCUUUUCUCGGUCUGCACAAAGCCCUCACAGUGCUGGAGCUGACCGGGGGCCUCCUGCCUCUGGCUUAGGUCAGUUGCCAGUUCCCAGAUGCAGCCCUGGGCUGCCUGUCCUGGAGGACCACGGGAGGCCUUGGGGUCCAGCCUCGAGCUCCUGUUCAGCAGAGAAUGAGGGUGGAAAUAUGUCACCCCUGACUUCGAGUAUCUUCUUUAGCCUCCUGAAGUCUAUCCGCCGUGGCUCUCACCCCUUACCACAGUCAGAAUCACCGGGCUGAAAGAAGAACGGGGAAGAAAAAUGAGGUAUUUGCACUGGAUGAACACCCUACAAUGUGUGCUAUGGUUUGGAUCUGGAAUGUCCCCCAAAGCCUCAUGUAUUGAAGGCUUGAUCCCCAAUGCAGCCAUGUUCAGAGAUGAAGCUUUUGGGAUGGGAUUGGAUCAUGAGGACUCUGACCUCAUCGAUGGAGAAUCUCCACUGAUGGAUUAAUAAUUUGAUGGCGUUAUUGGGAGGUGUUGAAAACUUUGUGAGGUGGGCCUUUGUUCAAAGAAGUAGGCCAUUGGGCACUUAUUCUUGAAAGGUAUGUCAUGUCCCUGAACUUUUCCUCCCUGCCCCCUCCUAACCCUCCCCUUGCUUCUGGGCUGCCAUAAACUGAUCAGCUUUCCUCCCCCAUGCACUUCUGCAAUGAUGUUCUGCCAACCGACCAUAGAUUAAAACCUCUGGAACUGUGAGCCAAAGUAAAUCUUUACUCCUUUAAGUUAUUUUUCUCAGGUGUUUUGUUACAGUGAUAAGAAGCUGACUAACACAAUGUGGGUGGCCCUCAGAAACAGUGCUGAUUGAAGAAAGCAAAGAACAGAAUGCAAUCCAUGGCACAAUACCAUUUAUGUAAACUCAAGUUGCAUGCACACAGAAUAGCAGCGUAUUUUUGACAGGGACACAUACAAAGAUGUGAUGUCAAACAUAUUGAUGCAGUUGCUUAAUUGAGGGAUUGGGGAGACUUAGGGUAGUAAAUGAAAAUUAAAGGAAUAAAUAAAUGAGACAAAAGAGGGUCUUUUCUUAGAACAGUGAUAACACUGUGUCAUUGAGAAUAAUUAAUUGCACUUCUACACCCGAGGACCAAACAAAAAGUCAGAACCAAACUCAGUCUUGGAAAUGACACCACCCUAGUUAGGACAACACUCAUAUCUGUAUGAGUGGGAGGGAGAAGGAACAUGGGGCAGGGAUUUAGCUGUAGCUGUAGUGUUUUAUUUCUUUAAAAGAGAUAAGGUAUCUGAAUCCAAAUGGCAAAAUGUUAAUAUUGGUUAAUGUGUGGAUUUCUGUUAGAUCACUUUGUGCACAUUUUAAAUAUAUCAUAAUUUAAAUAAAUAUUUUUCAAGGCAAGACUGUGGCUUGCCAAGCCAGCUAAUUCUGGCUCUUUCUUAAUUCAUUUCUGAUCCUCGGUUGGCCUCUGAACAAUUUUAUAGAGUUGAAUGACUGCUCUCUACUUUGGUGACAGUUCCAAUAAAGAGAAGAAUAUGAAGACUUCAACUUUUCGUUGAAUGACUGGCAAAUGUCAAUGCUACAUAGAGGGUGAAAUGAGAUGGCUGAACACUCACAGGGAUCUUGCUCCUGAGUGGUUAGAUCAGAUUGACUUGCCAGGACUUAUUGGGUAGGUCAUACACUAUCUAUUGGCCUUCCUGACAAAUCCUAGACAACGAUCUAGAACUUCUGUAGGCAGCUCUUGGAGGGCUUCACAGCUCACAAUAAAGACCUUUUCUCUGGAAGCCACCCUGACACCUUGGUGGGGGUACUAAACAGUGAUUAGAGAAUAGACUCUGUAUUCUAUGACCCGGCGUUGGUCAUAGCUCAUUGGCUAAGAGGGAGCAUUGGAACCAAGCUGGACCAAUCGGAAUCUUCCUCUCAAGAUCUUUGCAUUUUGAACGGAGGCAGAGACUGGGGGCUUUUAGGAUGGGGUUGCUCCAUUGGGAAUGUCCUAGUGGAGAGAUUCAUUGACUCCAGAUGCUUAGGUCCUUUGGAACUGCCAUAGCUCUGGCCUUCCCAGAGGCUCAAUUUCUCACUCUUUUCUUGAAAUUUAAUAAAUUUAUUAUUAUUA